AGACACAGGACUGAAGCAAGAAUCGUGACAGUUCCUUUGAUGGAAAAAAAUCUUCUAGUGUUCAACAAGGGAUCCUUAUGCUUUUUUAUUGGUGAUGACAGGAAUUAAGGAGAGAGAGGGGGGGGGAUGACAUGCAACAAAGAUUCCCAUCAGACUUGAACUGGCAACGCUGCAGUUCAUUAACCUGGAGACACGGGGGCACUCCAAGGUCUCGGGGCUAAGCGUACAUGACAACCCCACACUGCUGCUGCUGACCUCCAUGACCAACAGCCUCUAGCUCCUGAUCCCAGACCAGCAGGACACCUCUCCUGCACACAGCAGGGGAAGCUACUGAAGCUGCAGUCACACAAUUUAAUGGCCAGACUGAAGAGGUCCUGCUCAGCUGUCACUCCAAGUUUUAAAGUUAAAUUUUAACUUGCAUUGUAUCACACUGUCAUCCAUGCCUGCCGGUCAUCCCUGACCAACAGAAGCUCUUAUGGAAAAUCAUGUACAUAUGCUGAAUUGUCCUUAUCAAUCAGAAUAAUUUCUUGAAAUAUCAGAUCUUACAAUAUAUAUUCAUAAAAAAAGAUUA